rnacentral:misc_RNA from 1 species
GAUGAAGAACGUAGCGAAAUGCGAUACUUGGUGUGAAUUGCUGAAUCCCGUGAACCAUCAAGUUUUUGAACGCAAGUUGCGCCCGAAGCCAUUAGGCCGAGGGCACGCCUGCCUGGGUGUCACACAUUGUUGCCCCAAUGCCAAUCGCCUCACUUUGUAGGUAUUUGCUUGGGGUGAAUGUUGGCCUCCCGUGAGCUCUGUCUCACGGUUGGUUGAAAAUCGAGUGCAUGGUGUCGGGUGUACCAUGAUGGAUGGUGGUUGAGUGAUGCUCGAGGCCAAUCAUGGGUAACUCCACCAGAAUUGUGCUCGGUGACCCACAUCAAGUCAGGUGGGGCUACCCGCUGAGUUUAAGCAUAUCAAUAAGCGGAGGA